rnacentral:lncRNA from 1 species
CCUCCUUCCCAGCUGCAGGCGAGGCUCGUGCGGGGUCAGGGAGUGGGGCAGGCUGGCACACCGUGUUCGGUAUUUCGAACACUUGCACACGCAGGUGCGCGCAGCAGGAGAGGAGGAAACAGGCCUCGGACGAGCGUGCAGGGCUCUGAAGGUGCAACCGUGAGGUGCCGCGGCUUAAGGCAGAAAACAGCCCUAACUCUCUGCGGAGGGGACGGGAGGGGAGGCUGGUGACAGUAAGCAGGUCUAGGAGUCCGUUCUCUGCUGGCUCUUCGCCACCGGACGCACACGUGCCGCUCGCCUCCGGGGGCAGCUCCCCUGGCGGCCUCCGCGGCCCCUCGGGCCAGCCCGCUUUCCCCUCAACGCUAGGGGCGCCCAGGCUGCCCCCUGGUGACCUGGACCCCGGGGGGGGGGGGGUUGCCGGCGCUGUGGGUGUGGGUUUGGGUUUGGUUUUACUUUACCCUCCUUACUUCCAAAUAGGUCUGCUUUUCGCUUUGGGACCUCUGUUGGGGGAAGAAGGUCCGGGGCGCGCCGCGGGCGGCGGCGGCAGCGGCGGCGGCGGCCGGGCCNNNNNNNNNNNNNNNNNNNNNNNNNNNNNNNNNNNNNNNNNNNNNNNNNNNNNNNNNNNNNNCGCGGGGCCACGCCCUCGGCGGGCGGCGCGCGCGGGAACUCCUUGAGCGAGCGGCUCAGCGGCUUGGCCUUGCCGUGCGCCUGCGCCGCCGCCUCCAGCUUGUAGGCGCCGCUGCUGCCCGCCGGCGACGUGGCGCUCUUGGGCAGCGGCUGCAGCGGGUGCUCGGGCCGCUCGGCCUCCAUGGCGAAGCUGACGGGCCGCAGGAAGCAGAUGUCCAGGCUGGACUCGGAGGAGGCGGGCGAGCAGUUCUCGAAGAGGGCCGGGGCCUGGUACGGCUCCUCGUCGUAGGGCGCGGGCAGCGCGAAGAUCUCGCCGCCGUACUCGAACUCCUCGUAGCCCGCGGGCACGAAGCCGCGGGCGUCGGGCAGGAGCUCGGCCGGGGCGCGCAGGGAGCGCUCCACGUUGGCCAGCGGCUCGGCGGGCGAGGGCUCGAAGUCCAUCUCGGGGAUGGCCUGCAGCGGCCCGGCCAGCGCCUUCACGUCCUGCUCGGCGGCACAGAACUGCGCGGGCGCCAGCAGGCUCUCGGGCCUCUCGUGCUUUCUGCCCUCCAGCUCCCACUCAGUGGGCUUCCCGGGCUGCAUGCUCUCCAUCAAGCUGGGCGGUGGCUGGCUUUUCUUCACCGGGGGCAUCAGAUGUCUUUAAAGGAAAACAGGACACAAAAGGAGCCACCGCUCCCGCUCGCGUCUCUCGCCUCCACCCUCCCAGGCGCCUGCGUGUGUCGCCUACCAAGCUCCACAGGCUCCUCUAGCUAAGGAGGUCCCAUGAGCCCUGGCCCCCCACGUAGGGGGGUGAAAACGCCAUCUGGCCAGAGGGUGCCCGAAGUCUCUGUCUGAGCAAGGAGGCUGCGUGUCGACAAGGCAAGUCGGCCAAGGAGCGUCCUCAGGCCGCGCGCGCCGGGGAGCGCCGACCCACCCAGCUCGUGUCCAGAGCCCCCGAGGUAUCUCCUUCCUCUCACCUCUCGAUUUUUCUGUCCUAGCAGUAUGACACGAAAUAAUGGAAGGAGCUUUUGUUCGACUCCUGGAUCUUCGCGCUUAAGAACAAUUACAUUUCUAGAUGGAAUGAAUGUGUGACGAUCUUGAAAACUGUUGAAUCUUGAUGAUGGCGUACGGGGUUCACGGUACACCUUCGUGUAUAUUUGAGGUUUUCAUAAUAAACAAUUUGAAAAUUUUGUGGCUGUGGAGAGU